GAAGGCUAUGUUGGCCGGGCGACGGUUGUCCCGGUUUAAGCGUGUAGGCUGGUUUUCCAGGCAAAUCCGGAAAACUAAGGCUGAGGCGUGAUGACGAGGCACUACGGUGCUGAAGCAACAAAUGCCCUGCUUCCAGGAAAAGCCUCUAAGCAUCAGGUAACAUCAAAUCGUACCCCAAACCGACACAGGUGGUCAGGUAGAGAAUACCAAGGCGCUUGAGAGAACUCGGGUGAAGGAACUAGGCAAAAUGGUGCCGUAACUUCGGGAGAAGGCACGCUGAUAUGUAGGUGAAGUCCCUCGCGGAUGGAGCUGAAAUCAGUCGAAGAUACCAGCUGGCUGCAACUGUUUAUUAAAAACACAGCACUGUGCAAACACGAAAGUGGACGUAUACGGUGUGACGCCUGCCCGGUGCCGGAAGGUUAAUUGAUGGGGUUAGCGCAAGCGAAGCUCUUGAUCGAAGCCCCGGUAAACGGCGGCCGUAACUAUAACGGUCCUAAGGUAGCGAAAUUCCUUGUCGGGUAAGUUCCGACCUGCACGAAUGGCGUAAUGAUGGCCAGGCUGUCUCCACCCGAGACUCAGUGAAAUUGAACUCGCUGUGAAGAUGCAGUGUACCCGCGGCAAGACGGAAAGACCCCGUGAACCUUUACUAUAGCUUGACACUGAACAUUGAGCCUUGAUGUGUAGGAUAGGUGGGAGGCUUUGAAGUGUGGACGCCAGUCUGCAUGGAGCCGACCUUGAAAUACCACCCUUUAAUGUUUGAUGUUCUAACGUUGACCCGUAAUCCGGGUUGCGGACAGUGUCUGGUGGGUAGUUUGACUGGGGCGGUCUCCUCCUAAAGAGUAACGGAGGAGCACGAAGGUUGGCUAAUCCUGGUCGGACAUCAGGAGGUUAGUGCAAUGGCAUAAGCCAGCUUGACUGCGAGCGUGACGGCGCGAGCAGGUGCGAAAGCAGGUCAUAGUGAUCCGGUGGUUCUGAAUGGAAGGGCCAUCGCUCAACGGAUAAAAGGUACUCCGGGGAUAACAGGCUGAUACCGCCCAAGAGUUCAUAUCGACGGCGGUGUUUGGCACCUCGAUGUCGGCUCAUCACAUCCUGGGGCUGAAGUAGGUCCCAAGGGUAUGGCUGUUCGCCAUUUAAAGUGGUACGCGAGCUGGGUUUAGAACGUCGUGAGACAGUUCGGUCCCUAUCUGCCGUGGGCGCUGGAGAACUGAGGGGGGCUGCUCCUAGUACGAGAGGACCGGAGUGGACGCAUCACUGGUGUUCGGGUUGUCAUGCCAAUGGCACUGCCCGGUAGCUAAAUGCGGAAGAGAUAAGUGCUGAAAGCAUCUAAGCACGAAACUUGCCCCGAGAUGAGUUCUCCCUGACUCCUUGAGAGUCCUGAAGGAACGUUGAAGACGACGACGUUGAUAGGCCGG
rnacentral:rRNA from 1 species